rfam:Myotis lucifugus cont2.10580, whole genome shotgun sequence.
GGUGGUUCUCGGGUGACACACCCUGGAAUUGGGCUCCCUCCUCUCUGGUUCCAGGUGUGUCACCCAAGAAAUGCA